rnacentral:rRNA from 1 species
GACGAACGCUGGCGGCGUGCCUAAUACAUGCAAGUAGAACGCUGAAGAGAGGAGCUUGCUCUUCUUGGAUGAGUUGCGAACGGGUGAGUAACGCGUAGGUAACCUGCCUUGUAGCGGGGGAUAACUAUUGGAAACGAUAGCUAAUACCGCAUAACAAUGGAUGACACAUGUCAUUUAUUUGAAAGGGGCAAUUGCUCCACUACAAGAUGGACCUGCGUUGUAUUAGCUAGUAGGUGAGGUAACGGCUCACCUAGGCGACGAUACAUAGCCGACCUGAGAGGGUGAUCGGCCACACUGGGACUGAGACACGGCCCAGACUCCUACGGGAGGCAGCAGUAGGGAAUCUUCGGCAAUGGGGGCAACCCUGACCGAGCAACGCCGCGUGAGUGAAGAAGGUUUUCGGAUCGUAAAGCUCUGUUGUAAGUCAAGAACGAGUGUGAGAGUGGAAAGUUCACACUGUGACGGUAGCUUACCAGAAAGGGACGGCUAACUACGUGCCAGCAGCCGCGGUAAUACGUAGGUCCCGAGCGUUGUCCGGAUUUAUUGGGCGUAAAGCGAGCGCAGGCGGUUUGAUAAGUCUGAAGUUAAAGGCUGUGGCUCAACCAUAGUUCGCUUUGGAAACUGUCAAACUUGAGUGCAGGAGGGGAGAGUGGAAUUCCAUGUGUAGCGGUGAAAUGCGUAGAUAUAUGGAGGAACACCGGUGGCGAAAGCGGCUCUCUGGUCUGUAACUGACGCUGAGGCUCGAAAGCGUGGGGAGCGAACAGGAUUAGAUACCCUGGUAGUCCACGCCGUAAACGAUGAGUGCUAGGUGUUGGAUCCUUUCCGGGAUUCAGUGCCGCAGCUAACGCAUUAAGCACUCCGCCUGGGGAGUACGACCGCAAGGUUGAAACUCAAAGGAAUUGACGGGGGCCCGCACAAGCGGUGGAGCAUGUGGUUUAAUUCGAAGCAACGCGAAGAACCUUACCAGGUCUUGACAUCCCGAUGCUAUUUCUAGAGAUAGAAAGUUACUUCGGUACAUCGGUGACAGGUGGUGCAUGGUUGUCGUCAGCUCGUGUCGUGAGAUGUUGGGUUAAGUCCCGCAACGAGCGCAACCCCUAUUGUUAGUUGCCAUCAUUCAGUUGGGCACUCUAGCGAGACUGCCGGUAAUAAACCGGAGGAAGGUGGGGAUGACGUCAAAUCAUCAUGCCCCUUAUGACCUGGGCUACACACGUGCUACAAUGGUUGGUGCAACAAGUUGCGAGUCGGUGACGGCAAGCUAAUCUCUUAAAGCCAAUCUCAGUUCGGAUUGUAGGCUGCAACUCGCCUACAUGAAGUCGGAAUCGCUAGUAAUCGCGGAUCAGCACGCCGCGGUGAAUACGUUCCCGGGCCU